GAAAACUCUAUGAGGAAAGACUCGAAAUUUAUCAAAAGAUUGAGCUUGUUCGGUUAAUGGGUAAACUGGAGCAGAGCGAAAAGAUUUAGGAAUAUCUAGCCGAGGAAGAAGAAUUAGAAGCUAAAAUUUUGAGCUAGAAGUCAAGGCAGUGGGUUAAAGGUUGUCGGGUGAGUUUUGGAGUGGUUAUGCAUACAGUUAGGUGUGGGUUGUGGCCGAAGGUGAGAAUUCAUUUGAGGUUAUUUUGACAAGUUUUGGACGCCCAGAAGGCGAGCUGGCACACUGACGGGCAGGAUGCGUUGGUGUUGUGUGUAGGUCGUGGGGGUGUGGUAGGUGUCGCUGGUGUGCGGAGGGUGGCGUUGCGUGUGCGUAGGUGUUGAGUGAGACGCGUCUCGCUAACCUCGUAAAGACGCGCUACGCAGGGCGAUGAUGCAAGCAACGCAGACGCGCGUGCGCCCUACCUGUUUUGAGGUUAUUUUGUUGAUUGGUGUGCGGGGACUGCCACCCACGAGGGGUUGUGUGUACGAGGCAGCAAUUGGGUGUGUGGGCAGCGUGCUGUGCGAGGUUUGUCGCUCAUUUGAGGUUAUUUUCGGC
rnacentral:misc_RNA from 1 species